rnacentral:tmRNA from 1 species
GUUGCCAACGACGACAACUACGCUCUCGCCGCUUAAGGCGUAAGCCCCGAACCCACUUGUGCUCAUGCUCGUCGGUGUAGGGUCAUUAUCAUGAGAUCGCCGAACGCUGCCGCCUGGCGGCUCUAGGUCAAAUCAAUCAGGCUGGUUCCGCGGUGCGCUUCGCCCGCCGUGCUUGUCGCGGAACGAGAUCGAACGGUGAGCUAAGCAUGUAGAUCCGGGCAUUGAGCAUCUUCGGACGGGGGUUCAACUCCCCCCACCUCCACCA